rnacentral:rRNA from 1 species
UUGGAGGGCAAGUCUGGUGCCAGCAGCCGCGGUAAUUCCAGCUCCAAUAGCGUAUAUUAAAGUUGUUGCAGUUAAAAAGCUCGUAGUUGAAUUUCUGUUUGAUUUGAAUUCGCAGUCUUCUGACCACGAUUUCGAACAAACAUUCUUCCAUUCUCGGUGGUAACACCGUGCGAUGGAGCCUUUACUUUGAGAAAAUUAGAGUGUUUCAAGCAAGCUUCGCUUUGAAUACUACAGCAUGGAAUAAUACAAUAGGACUUUAGGCCUAUUUGUUGGUUUCAGGCCUGAAGUAAUGAUUAAUAGGGACAGUUGGGGGCAUUCGUAUUGGAUAGUCAGCGGUGAAAUGCGUGGAUUUAUUCAAGACGAACUACUGCGAAAGCAUUUGCCAAAGAUGCUUUCAUUAAUCAAGAACGAAAGUUAGGGGAACG